CCGCAAAAGCAUAAAAAAGUUUAUUGGAGCAUCACAGCUGAUUGGGCGGGUAUUGCUGAGUAGUGGAGUGGGGAGUGGGGCCGAUCCCGCCGGCCCUUAGGGGCCCCUAAAGUGCAUUCGGUGCGGCAGGGAUGGGGUUUUUGCAUAGAGAGUCGGUCCCGCCGCUCCUCCGCCAUCCCUGCUUCUUCGCCCAGCUAAGCCAGAUCAGCCU
rnacentral:lncRNA from 1 species